AUUGAACGCUGGCGGCAGGCCUAACACAUGCAAGUCGAGCGAGUGGCGGACGGGUGAGUAAUGUCUGGGGAUCUGCCCGAUGGAGGGGGAUAACUACUGGAAACGGUAGCUAAUACCGCAUACUAUCAGAUGUCCCCAGAUGGGAUUAGCUAGUAGGUGGGGUAACGGCUCACCAAGGCGACGAUCUCUAGCUGGUCUGAGAGGAUGAUCAGCCACACGGGAACGGAGACACGGCCCAGACUCCUACGGGAGGCAGCAGUGGGGAAUAUUGCACAAUGGGCGCAAGCCUGAUGCAGCCAUGCCGCGUGUAUGAAGAAGGCCUUAGGGUUGUAAAGUACUUUCAGCGGGGAGGCGUUACCCGCAGAAGAAGCACCGGCUAACUCCGUGCCAGCAGCCGCGGUAAUUC
rnacentral:rRNA from 1 species